CGACAAGCGGAGGAGCAUGUGGUUUAAUUCGAUGAUACGCGAGGAACUUACCUGGGCUCGAACGUAAGAUGACUGUAGGUGAAAGCUUACAUCUCUUCGGAGCAUUUUACGAGGUGCUGCAUGGUUGUCGUCAGCUCGUGCCGUGAGGUGUCGGGUUAAGUCCCAUAACGAGCGCAACCCUACCUUUAGUUGCCAUCAGGUAAUGCUGGGGACUCUAAAGGAACUGCCUACGCAAGUAGUGAGGAAGCGGGGAUGACGUCAAAUCAGCACGGCCCUUACGUCCAGGGCUACACACGUGCUACAAUGGCCGAUACAGAGGGCAGCUACCUGGUGACAGGAUGCAAAUCUCCAAAGUCGGUCUCAGUUCGGAUCGGAGUCUGCAACCCGACUCCGUGAAGUUGGAUUCGCUAGUAAUCGCGCAUCAGCCAUGGCGCGGUGAAUACGUUCCCGGGCCUU
rnacentral:rRNA from 1 species